GACGAAGGUGGCGAGCGUUGUUCGGAAUCACUGGGCAUAAAGCGCACGUAGGCGGCGGCGUAAGUUGGAUGUGAAAUCCCCCGGCCCAACCGGGGAACUGCGUCCAGUACUGCGUUGCUUGAGGAUCCAAGGGGUGCAUGGAAUUCCCGGUGGAGCGGUGAAAUGCGUUGAUAUCGGGAGGAACUCCGGCGGCGAAAGCGGUGCACUGGUGGAUUACUGG
rnacentral:rRNA from 1 species